rnacentral:rRNA from 1 species
AUUGAACGCUGGCGGGAGGCCUAACACAUGCAAGUCGAGCGAGCGGCGGACGGGUGAGUUAUGUCUGGGAAACUGACUGCUGGAGGGGGAUAACUACUGGGAACGGUGGCUGAUACCGCAUCCCCUCGGAUGUGCCCAGAUGGGAUUAGCGGGUAGGUGAGGUAACGGCUCACCUCGGCGCCGAUCCCUAGCUGGUCUGAGAGGAGGACCAGCCACACUGGAACUGAGACACGGUCCAGACUCCUACGCGAGGCAGCAGGGGGGAAUAGUGCACAAUGGGCGCAAGCCUGAUGCAGCCAUGCCGCGUGUAUGAAGAAGGCCUUCGGGUUGUAAAGUACUGUCAGCGGGGAGGCGUUACCCGCAGAAGAAGCACGGGCUAACGCCGUGCAAGCCGCCGCGGUAAUAC